rnacentral:lncRNA from 10 species
CAAGUUGAACCCAUUCUUGGCUCACUCAGCAAAAUGGGUAGGAAUAUAGCUUCAGAGCCAUCUAGAUUGCUUUUUCAAAUCCUCAUGAAAAUUUUCCUACCUUGUCUCCUGUUUCUCAGGGUCCUAAUCUCUGAUAAAGAAGUCCCAAGCCAAUUAUUGCUGUGCAUUAAAACACUGUGAGUUGGCCAGGCACAGUAGCUCAUGCCUGUAAUCCCAGCACGUUGGGAGGCCGAGGCAGGAGAAUGCUUGAACUGGGGAGGCAGAGGCUGUGGUGAGCCUAGGUUGCACUAUUGCACUCCAGCCUGG